CCCUUAGAUGUUCUGGGCUGCACGCGCGCUACACUGAUGCGAUCAACAAGUUUUUCCUAUGUCGAUAGACACGGGUAAUCUUUUGAACUCGCAUCGUGAUGGGGAUAGAUUAUUGUAAUUAUUAAUCUUCAACGAGGAAUUCCUAGUAGGUGCAAAUCAUCAGUUUGCAUCGAUUACGUCCCUGCCCUUUGUACACACCGCCCGUCGCUGCGACCGAUUGGUUGAUCUGGUGAAUUAUUCGGACUGCCGGCUGAAGGGGUUUCCUCAUCUGCCAGCGGAAAGUCUUGUUAACCCUAUCAACUAGAGGAAGCAGAAGUCGUAACA
rnacentral:rRNA from 1 species